rnacentral:rRNA from 1 species
GAUGAACGCUGGCGGCGUGCCUAAUACAUGCAAGUCGAGCGACGAGGGGACGGGUGUGUAACACGUGGAUAACCUCCCAUAAGACUGGGAUAACCUCGGGAAACCGGUGCCUAUCCGGAUUAUUAUCGAUGGAUCCGCUCUGCAUUAGCUAGUUGGUAGGGUAACGGCUUACCAAGGCAACGACGCAUAGCCGACCUGAGAGGGUGAGCGGCCACACUGGAACUGAGACACGGUCCAGACUCCUACGGGAGGCAGCAGUAGGGAAUCUUCGGCAAUGGGCGAAAGCCUGACGGAGCAACACCGCGUGGGUGAUGAAGGUCUUCGGAUCGUAAAACGCUGUUAUUAGGGAAGCGGUACCUAAAGAAAAAGCCACGGCUAACUACGUGCCAGCAGCCGCGGUAAUAC